rnacentral:lncRNA from 1 species
CUUAAUUAUAUUUUUCCACAUAACGAAAACGUGUGAGAAAUUUCAAAAUUAAAGCCCUUUUCACAAAGCAAUAAUUGUUGAUUCCUUUUUAGAAAAUGGAAUUGUUUGUAGAGAGCAAUAGCAAUCUUUUGUUCUUUUUAUAGUGGAGCAAUCCAUUAAUUUAAGACUCCCUUACGGGAAGGAUUAUUAUAUACUUAUAUGCACCGUCACUUACAAGAAACUCGUCGUCUUUUUUCUUUUUAGGUUCCCUUGGUUGCCC